rnacentral:misc_RNA from 1 species
GGAAAUUCCUGUAGACGUGGUUCAUCUUUGACGGUGUGGGCUGGGGACGAUUGGGGUUCGGUGGGUAAACAGAUCAAGAGACCUCAGAUUCAUAAUCCCAUCAUAGAAAGGCAGAAGCUGCUAGGCGAAGAGAUGAGAGGGUAUGGUUCUAGUUCAAGUUCUUCUACGAGGGAGGUGAAGAUCAAGAUUACAAAGAGGAAGCUGGAAGAGUUAAUGGCAAGAGUUGAGAUGCAGGGUUUGUCUAUGGAACAAGUUCUUGCUAGGUUGAUCAACUCAGUUGAUAAAUUUGAAAUAAUGGAGAUGGAGCAUCAUCAUCAUCUUCAUAGGUCUUGGAAGCCUGCCCUCCAAAGUAUUCCAGAGGUGAACUAGAACACAAUUUAUUGAUGUAUAUGUUUUUUGGAAGCAAUUUAUUGAUGUAUAUAUGAUCAAUUUGUUACUAGACUUUGCUAAUUCCUCUUGUGUUCUUCAUUUAUGAGCUUAGGGAUGGCUCCAAAUUCUUAACAUAUAUUGUACAUAUGGUG